GGGGGGUCGAAGUCGAGCCUCGCUGGCUCCGGCGCGGAACUGAGGGGACCGGGUCCUUCCCGCUGAAGCAUGGCAUAAGCCACGUUGGUCCCCUCAGCCUCCUUCGUGUCCUUUCCCUGGGGCAACACGGGGUGACGCGGGGCCAGACCGGCACCCCUUCUGGCCGGAGGGACCCUCCCCAUCCUCUAACGUCUGAGCAGCCUGUACCCUGCGUGCAAGGAACCAGUUUGGUUAUAAAAUCAAAGCAUGUGAUCAACAGCUCGUACAUUAUAUUGGUGUGGACCCAGAGAGCAAGCACAGACGAAGAGCAGACACUGACCUCACAGUUCUGACAGGGUUCAUGCCGCCGGCGACGAAAGUGAAGGAAUGGAAAAAAGGAAAUUUUACCAUUCGACAGUCGCAAAACUAGAGGAAAAAAGUUUAAGUGCAGUUAAGAAAAUCAAAGGGCUUGAUCAACAGCUUAUACAUUGCCUUGGUUUGGACCCAGAGUGCAAGCACAGACGAAGAGCGGACACUGACUUCACACUUCUGAUAGGUAUGGAAUACAGGCCUCAGUUGUGCUUUGAUCCUGUUUCCCCCUUCUGUACAGUAGGCUCCUCUCAAGGUAAG
rnacentral:lncRNA from 1 species